UAGCACGUUGAUAAUAGUAAUGAAUUGCACCAAUUGAUUAUGAAUGAUCAUGGGCUUUCAAGACAUAUAGGUAAUUUUAAAAUUGAACACCAGCCUUGUGUUUCUAGUCCUGGCUCAGCCACUGACUAAUUGUGUAACUUGUGGAAAGUCACUAAAUCUGUCUGGGCCUUAACUUCCUUAUCUUUGAAAUGAAGAUGUUGGACUAGUUAAUGUCUAAGUGUGUUCCUGAAUUAAA
rnacentral:lncRNA from 1 species